UACGUAGGGUGCAAGCGUUGUCCGGAAUUAUUGGGCGUAAAGAGCUCGUAGGCGGUUUGUCGCGUCUGCUGUGAAAUCCAGGGCUUAACCCUGGACCUGCAGUGGGUACGGGCAGACUGGAGUGCGGUAGGGGAGAUCGGAAUUCCUGGUGUAGCGGUGAAAUGCGUAGAUAUUGGGAGGAACACCAGUGGCGAAGGCGGCUACCUGGACCGGGUUCUGACGCUGAUGCGCGAAAGCGUGGGUAGCAAACAGG
rnacentral:rRNA from 1 species